AUUGAACGCUGGCGGCAGGCCUAACACAUGCAAGUCGAGCGGAUGAAGGGAGCUUGCUCCUGGAUUCAGCGGCGGACGGGUGAGUAAUGCCUAGGAAUCUGCCUGGUAGUGGGGGAUAACGUCCGGAAACGGGCGCUAAUACCGCAUACGUCCUGAGGGAGAAAGUGGGGGAUCUUCGGACCUCACGCUAUCAGGUGAGCCUGGGUCGGAUUAGCUAGUUGGUGGGGUAAAGGCCUACCAAGGCGACGAUCCGUAACUGGUCUGAGAGGAUGAUCAGUCACACUGGAACUGAGACACGGUCCAGACUCCUACGGGAGGCAGCAGUGGGGAAUAUUGGACAAUGGGCGAAAGCCUGAUCCAGCCAUGCCGCGUGUGUGAAGAAGGUCUUCGGAUUGUAAAGCACUUUAAGUUGGGAGGAAGGGCAGUAAGUUAAUACCUUGCUGUUUUGACGUUACCAACAGAAUAAGCACCGGCUAACUUCGUG
rnacentral:rRNA from 1 species